ACAGAAACUUUGGAACAGGACAGAGCCAGGAAAAAGGAAACGUAUAGAUGAGCUGAUGUGUUGGAACUAAAAGGAAGUUCUCUUCUGUCAGAGGAUGAAUGGAUGGAUUAAUCAGAGAUUCAUAGAAGAUGAAGCAAAUAAAAAAUGGGGUGUGCAAUGUAAUGAUUCCACAAUUCUAUUCAUCAGUUCUCAUCACGGUUAUGAUCUCAGGGUUAUGAGAUCUCAGAACCCUGAGAUCCACUGGACGUGGAGCCUGCAUGGGAUUCUUUCUCUCUCCCUUUCCCUCUGCCUCUCUCUCCGUCUCUAGAAGGAGAAGGAGAAGGAGAAGGAGAAGGAGAAGAAGAAGAAGAAGAA